AGCGAACGCUGGCGGCAGGCCUAACACAUGCAAGUCGAACGAACCUUUCGGGGUUGGUUGCGGUCGGGUGAGUAACGCGUGGGAACGUUCCUGUAGGUUCCGAAUAACUCAUUGUAACUUGGGCUAAUACCGAAUGUGCCCUUCUGGUGCAAGAUUAGUCGCCGUUAGGGCGGCCGGCGUCUGUUUAACUAGUUGGUGGUGGUAAUGGCUCACGAGGGCGACGUACUGUACCUGGUCUAGGAGGAAGAGCAGCGACAUCGGUACGGAGACACGGCCGAAAAUCUUACGGGAGGCGGCAGAGGGGAAUCUUGCGAAAUCGGCGAAAGCCUGACGCAGCCAGGCCGCGUGAAUGAUGAAGGUCGUAGGAUUGUAAAAUUGUUUCACCGGCGACGAUAAUGACGGUACCCGGAGAAGAAGCCCCGGCUAACUUCGUG
rnacentral:rRNA from 1 species